rnacentral:lncRNA from 1 species
GGGACGCCUUUGGAAAAGCUGGAUUGCUUCAUGUUUGAAGACAAACAGAAGAAAACAGCUAGAUUAUUCAACUAAAAUUCUGCAACUGGUGGCUGUAGGGAGAAUCAAGCUGUUUCAAACCAUGGUGAUCUGUGUGAAGAUUACUGAAGGAAAUGAUUACUGAAGAUUACUGAAGAUUAUGAUUACUGAAUCAUAAAAGAUUACU